CCUACGGGUGGCAGCAGUGGGGAAUAUUGCACAAUGGGCGAAACCCUGAUGCAGCGACGCCGCGUGAGUGAAGAAGUAUUUCGGUAUGUAAAGCUCUUUUAGCAGGGAAGAAGAAAGACGGUACCUGACUAAGAAGCCCCGGCUAACUACGUGCCAGCACCCGCGGUAAUACGCAGGGGGCAAGCGUAUUCCGGAUUUACUGGGUGUAAAGGGUGCGUAGACGGCUGUGUAAGUCUGAGGUGAAAGCCCAGGGCUCAACCCUGGGACUGCUUUGGAAACUGUGGAGCUAGAGUGCGGGAGAGGUAUGUGGAAUGCCUAGUGUAGCGGUGAAAUGCGUAGAUAUUAGGAGGAACACCAGUGGCGAAGGCGGCUUACUGGACAGUAACUGACGUUGAGGCUCGAAAGCGUGGGGAGCAAACAGGAUUAGAUACCCCAGUAGUC
rnacentral:rRNA from 1 species